rnacentral:rRNA from 1 species
UACGUAGGGGGCAAGCGUUAUCCGGAUUUACUGGGUGUAAAGGGAGCGUAGACGGCGGUGCAAGUCUGAAGUGAAAGGCGGGGGCCCAACCCCCGGACUGCUCUGGAAACUGUGCUGCUGGAGUGCAGGAGAGGCAAGUGGAAUUCCUAGUGUAGCGGUGAAAUGCGUAGAUAUUAGGAGGAACACCAGUGGCGAAGGCGGCUUGCUGGACUGUAACUGACGUUGAGGCUCGAAAGCGUGGGGAGCAAACAGG